UUUAAAGGGUCCGUAGGCGGUUUAGUAAGUCAGUGGUGAAAGCCCAUCGCUCAACGGUGGAACGGCCAUUGAUACUGCUAAACUUGAAUUAUUAGGAAGUAACUAGAAUAUGUAGUGUAGCGGUGAAAUGCUUAGAGAUUACAUGGAAUACCAAUUGCGAAGGCAGGUUACUACUAAUGGAUUGACGCUGAUGGACGAAAGCGUGGGUAGCGAACAGGAUUAGAUACCCUGGUAGUCCACGCCGUAAACGAUGGAUACUAGCUGUUGGAAGCAAUUUCAGUGGCUAAGCGAAAGUGAUAAGUAUCCCACCUGGGGAGUACGUUCGCAAGAAUGAAACUCAAAGGAGUUGACGGGGGCCCGCACAAGCGGUGGAGCAUGUGGUUUAAUUCGAAUGAUACGCGAGGAACCUUACCAAGGCUUAAAUGUAGAUUGACCGGUUUGGAAACAGACUUUUCGCAAGACAAUUUACAAGGUGCUGCAUGGUUGUCGUCAGCUCGUGCUGUGAGGUGUCAGGUUAAGUCCUAUAACGAGCGCAACCCCUGUUGUUAGUUGCCAGCGAGUCAUGUCGGGAACUCUAACGAGACUGCCAGUGCAAACUGAGAGGAAGGUGGGGAUGACGUCAAAUCAUCACGGCCCUUACGCCUUGGGCUACACACGUGCUACAAUGGCCGGUACAGAGAGCAGCCACUGGGUGACCAGGAGCGAAUCUAUAAAACCGGUCACAGUUCGGAUCGGAGUCUGCAACUCGACUCCGUGAAGCUGGAA
rnacentral:rRNA from 1 species